rnacentral:rRNA from 1 species
UACGGAGGGGGCUAGCGUUGUUCGGAAUUACUGGGCGUAAAGCGCGCGUAGGCGGCUUUGUAAGUUAGAGGUGAAAGCCCGGAGCUCAACUCCGGAAUAGCCUUUAAGACUGCAUCGCUAGAACGUUGGAGAGGUAAGUGGAAUUCCGAGUGUAGAGGUGAAAUUCGUAGAUAUUCGCAAGAACACCAGUGGCGAAGGCGGCUCACUGGCCCGGUACUGACGCUGAGGCGCGAAAGCCAGGGGAGCGAACGGG